AGAGUUUGAUCCUGGCUCAGGAUGAACGCUGGCGGCGUGCUUAACACAUGCAAGUCGAACGGGAAUGCCACGCUGAUGCGAUUUCGGUCAAAUCAUGUGGCAUUCGAGUGGCGGACGGGUGAGUAACGCGUGGGUAACCUGCCUUACACAGGGGGAUAACACCUGGAAACAGGUGCUAAUACCGCAUAAGCGCACAGGGCCGCAUGGCCCGGUGUGAAAAACUCCGGUGGUGUAAGAUGGACCCGCGUCUGAUUAGCUUGUUGGCGGGGUAGGGGCCCACCAAGGCGACGAUCAGUAGCCGGCCUGAGAGGGUGGACGGCCACAUUGGGACUGAGACACGGCCCAAACUCCUACGGGAGGCAGCAGUGGGGGAUAUUGGACAAUGGGGGAAACCCUGAUCCAGCGACGCCGCGUGAGUGAAGAAGUAUUUCGGUAUGUAAAGCUCUGUCAGCAGGGAAGAAAGAAAUGACGGUACCUGACCAAGAAGCCCCGGCUAACUACGUGCCAGCAGCCGCGGUAAUACGUAGGGGGCAAGCGUUAUCCGGAAUUACUGGGUGUAAAGGGAGCGUAGACGGUGAUGCAAGUCUGGAGUGAAAGGCGGGGGCCCAACCCCCGGACUGCUCUGGAAACUGUGUAACUUGAGUGCAGGAGAGGUAAGCGGAAUUCCUAGUGUAGCGGUGAAAUGCGUAGAUAUUAGGAGGAACACCAGUGGCGAAGGCGGCUUACUGGACUGUAACUGACGUUGAGGCUCGAAAGCGUGGGGAGCAAACAGGAUUAGAUACCCUGGCAGUCCACGCCGUAAACG
rnacentral:rRNA from 1 species